AUGCAAGUCGAACGAAGUAGCAAUACUUAGUGGCAGACGGGUGAGUAACAUGUAGGUAUCUGCCCUUUGGCCUGGAAUAACACGAGGAAACUUGUGCUAAUACCGGAUAAGUCUUUACGGAGAAAGCUUUACGCACCAUUGGAUGAGCCUGCACUUGAUUAGUUUGUUGGUGGGGUAAUGGCCUACCAAGACUGUGAUCAAUAGCUGAUUUGAGAGGAUGAUCAGCCACAUUGGGACUGAGACACGGCCCAAACUCCUACGGGAGGCAGCGGUGGGGAAUCUUGCACAAUGGAGGAAACUCUGAUGCAGCGAUGCCGCGUGAGUGAAGAAGGCCCUUGGGUUGUAAAGCUCUUUCGUCGGGGAAGAAAAUGACUGUACCCGAAUAAGAAGGUCCGGCUAACUUCGUGCCAGCAGCCGCGGUAAUACGAAGGGACCUAGCGUAGUUCGGAAUUACUGGGCUUAAAGAGUUCGUAGGUGGUUGAAAAAGUUGGUGGUGAAAUCCCAGAGCUUAACUCUGGAACUGCCAUCAAAACUUUUCAGCUAGAGUAUGAUAGAGGAAAGCAGAAUUUCUAGUGUAGAGGUGAAAUUCGUAGAUAUUAGAAAGAAUACCAAUCGCGAAGGCAGCUUUCUGGAUCAUUACUGACGCUGAGGAACGAAAGCAUGGGUAGCGAAGAGGAUUAGAUACCCUCGUAGUCCAUGCCGUAAACGAUGUGUGUUAGACGUUGGACAUUUAUUUUCAGUGUCGCAGCGAAAGCGAUAAACACACCGCCUGGGGAGUACGACCGCAAGGUUAAAACUCAAAUGAAUUGACGGGGACCCGCACAAGUAGUGGAGCAUGUGGUUUAAUUCGAAGAUACGCGCAGAACCUUACCAACACUUGACAUGUUCGUCGCGACUCUAAGAGAUUAGAGUUUUCGGUUCGGCCGGACGAAACACAGGUGCUGCAUGGCUGUCGUCAGCUCGUGUCGUGAG
rnacentral:rRNA from 1 species